AUAUAGGGUCCUAUAGGAUCUUGUAAUUGGAAUGAGUACAAUUUAAACCCAUUAACGAGGAACAACUAGAGGGCAAGUCUGGUGCCAGCAGCCGCGGUAAUUCCAGCUCUAGUAGCAUACAUUAAAAUUGUUGCAGUUAAAACGCCCGUAGUUGAAGCUUAGGUCCUUAUCAUCUAGUCUGCCUCACCGCUAGCACUGGUAUGAUUGGGCCUUUUUUCUUGGUAAACUGUUAUGCCCUUUAUUGGGUGUGGCAGUGAACUAGGACUUUUACUUUGAAAAAAUUAGAGUGUUUAAAGCAGGCUUUUGCUCGAAUACCUUAGCAUGGAAUAAUGGAAUAUGACGAGUGGUUGUUUUUCAUUGGUUUUCACGACUACCGUAAUGAUUGAUAGGGAUGGUCGGGGGCAUCGGUAUUCGAUCGUCAGAGGUGAA
rnacentral:rRNA from 1 species